UCAAUCUCAAUUUCUCUCGCCUAACUCUCCUAUGCUCGAACCCUCGUCGAAGCAAGCUUCGCCGUCACCAGAGCCGGUCCGCCGCCCCUCCCCACACCCUGUCCUAGCCCCCUUUCUAUCUCUUGCCUCGUUAUCUAUCUCAGCAUAGCAGUCUUGUGGUCGUUCUCUGACCAUUUGCUACAGGUAAUGGCUUCCCGCCACCAGCCCCCUAGGUUUGCCAUCAGCCGUUCCCUAGAUUAAGCUAUUCCCCGCUCAAUCUCAGAUUGUUCCCUAUCGUUCUCCCUUUUUCAUGGCUAUCUCUCUUCUUCACUGUUGAUGGUUUCUCGAUGUGGGGAUGGAGAUGGAUCAAUUCUGACUUGUGAGUUGAGGGGCAAAAGGGAAAGGAGAAAGGACAAGUAUGCCGCUGCUACCAUAACAUACCAAUCUAGGUGAUCCGGCAGUUGAUUCGUCACCCCUGAGUGCCUCCCGAAAAAUUGCUGAAAACACCAUCUAUGUUUGUUCUACCUCAUGCUUAUAUUAUUUUUAUAUUGUUUGGAUGUUGGAUAGUAUGAAUUAUGAAUAUUUUGGAUGAUAGGUAUUUCGGAUAUGUUUUACCAUGCUUGUUGGUGCAAAACAUUGUAUUUAUAUUUUUGGCGUGUCAGAUAACGUCGGAUCAGCAUCAUCUUGUAUGUUUUUGUACGAUUUUUGUAUUUGUUAUAAAAAAUAGGUAUUAUGCUA